GAUGAACGCUGGCGGCGUGCCUAAUACAUGCAAGUCGAGCGAACAGACGAGGAGCUUGCUCCUCUGACGUUAGCGGCGGACGGGUGAGUACCACGUGGAUAACCUACCUAUAAGACUGGGAUAACUUCGGGAAACCGGAGCUAAUACCGGAUAAUAUAUUGAACCGCAUGGUUCAAUAGUGAAAGACGGUUUUGCUGUCACUUAUAGAUGGAUCCGCGCCGCAUUAGCUAGUUGGUAAGGUAACGGCUUACCAAGGCAACGAUGCGUAGCCGACCUGAGAGGGUGAUCGGCCACACUGGAAGUGAGAAACGGUCCAGACUCCUACGGGAGGCAGCAGUAGGGAAUCUUCCGCAAUGGGCGAAAGCCGGACGGAGCAACGCCGCGGGAGUGAUGAAGGUCUUCGGAUCGGAAAACUCUGUUAUUAGGGAAGAACAAAUGUGUAAGUAACUAUGCACGUCUUGACGGUACCUAAUCAGAAAGCCACGGCUAACUACGUG
rnacentral:rRNA from 1 species